rnacentral:rRNA from 1 species
CACUAGUGAUUGUUUGAUCCUGGCUCAGGAUGAACGCUAGCGGCAGGCUUAACACAUGCAAGUCGAGGGGUAGAGGAAGCUUGCUUCCUUGAGACCGGCGCACGGGUGCGUAACGCGUAUGCAACCUACCUUUUACAGAGGGAUAGCCCAGAGAAAUUUGGAUUAAUACCUCAUGGUAUAUAUCAUUCGCAUGUUUGAUAUAUUAAAGUUCCAACGGUAAAAGAUGGGCAUGCGUCCUAUUAGCUAGAUGGUAAGGUAACGGCUUACCAUGGCAACGAUAGGUAGGGGUCCUGAGAGGGAGAUCCCCCACACUGGUACUGAGACACGGACCAGACUCCUACGGGAGGCAGCAGUGAGGAAUAUUGGACAAUGGGCGCAAGCCUGAUCCAGCCAUGCCGCGUGCAGGAAGAAGCAUCUAUGGUGUGUAAACUGCUUUUGUACGGGAAGAAACACUCCUUCGUGAAGGAGCUUGACGGUACCGUAAGAAUAAGGAUCGGCUAACUCCGUGCCAGCAGCCGCGGUAAUACGGAGGAUCCAAGCGUUAUCCGGAAUCAUUGGGUUUAAAGGGUCCGUAGGCGGUUUGGUAAGUCAGUGGUGAAAGCCCGCAGCUCAACCGUGGAACGGCCAUUGAUACUGCCAGACUUGAAUUACAAGGAAGUAACUAGAAUAUGUAGCGUAGCGGUGAAAUGCUUAGAUAUUACAUGGAAUACCAAUUGCGAAGGCAGGUUACUACUUGUGGAUUGACGCUGAUGGACGAAAGCGUGGGGAGCGAACAGGAUUAGAUACCCUGGUAGUCCACGCCGUAAACGAUGGAUACUAGCUGUUGGGGGCAACUUCAGUGGCUAAGCGAAAGUGAUAAGUUCCCACC